GACGAACGCUGGCGGCGUGCCUAACACAUGCCAGUCGAACGGAAAGGCCCUGCUUUCGUGGGGUGCUCGAGUGGCGAACGGGUGAGUAACACGUGAGUAACCUGCCCUUGACUUUGGGAUAACUUCAGGAAACUGGGGCUAAUACCGGAUAGGAGCUCCUGCUGCAUGGUGGGGGUUGGAAAGUUUCGGCGGUUGGGGAUGGACUCGCGGGUUAUCAGCUUGUUGGUGGGGUAGUGGCUUACCAAGGCUUUGACGGGUAGCCGGCCUGAGAGGGGGAACGGCGACAUUGGGACUGAGGGACGGACCAGAGUGCAACGGUGGGCAACGGGGGGAAAUAUGACACAGUGGGCGGGAGCCUGUUGAGAAGGCGCCGCGUGUGGAAAGACGGUUUUCUGGGUGUAAACCGCUGUAAGCUGAGACGAAGCGGGAGUGACGGUAAUGGGUAAAGAAGCACCGGCUAACUACGUG
rnacentral:rRNA from 1 species